rnacentral:misc_RNA from 1 species
AAGGCGGUAGCUGAUAUUAAAUCUAUCAAUCUCUUUGGCGUUCAGCAGAUAUGUCGGAAUUCAAUCGCACUUGAACAGGCGUUGGCAGCAAUUCCUUCAGUUAAUAGCGAGUUGGUACAGCAGAGAUUAGAUCGUGUGCGUACUUACUACGAAUUAUUGAACAUGCCAUUUGAGGCCUUGCUUGCCUUUAUCAUGGAGCACGAGCAUUUGUUUACUGCAGCAGAGUAUGCCAAUCUUCUCAAGGUUCAGGUUCCAGGAAGGGAGAUUCCACCCGAUGCCCAAGACCGUGUAUCCGAGAUCUUAUCCCGUUAGG